rnacentral:lncRNA from 1 species
CUAGAGUGUACGCUCGUCGGAUUUUCGUUUCAACGAAACACAUCGAGCAGAUAUUGCGUCGAAUUUUGCCAGAAGCUUGGUGAUACUGAAGCUCAAACCAUCUAGAAAAUUCGAUAGGCUUUUUCUGAUAGUACGAUGAGGAAAACACAGAUCAUUGUGUGGCACAAUCGCUUCAAAUAUGGCUGUAUCUCAGUGGAGAGCAAGACUACGCCCAUGCAGGUCAUCCACAAGCCGAAACGAGGAGCCAGUUGUGAAGGUUUGACGAAUAGUCAUGGAAGACGGUCGUGUAGCAAUCCAGGAAAUUGCUCACGAAGUGGGAACAAACACAGGAUUUUAACGGAGGAUUUGAGCAUGCGGUGAGUGUCGACGAAAUUCGUCCCGAAGGUGCCACCGUAGUAGCAGAAGCAAUAAGGCAUGGAAAUCGCUCAGGACAAUGCUGGGCUGUUGAAACCACGACCCAGACUUUAUGAAGACCAUCAAAUAUUAGUACAGUUCUAUAUUUGAGAGAUGAGGAAUUAUUUACAUUUGACGGAUAUUUGUCCUCAUUUUGUUUGUUGUUAACACAACGUUUCAGCUGAUAUACCCUCCAGCUUUCUUCAGGCUAAAGAAGGCUGGAGAGUAUAUCAGACGAAACGUUAACAACAAACAGGAUGAGGACAGAUAUCUGUCAAAUGUAAAUGAUGUUUCAAAUACUGGUGAUGAGACAUAGGUUUAUGGUCUUUGCUUGAUGCAUUCGGUCAUCUUAGGUGAAACGAAAAUCCGACUAGCGCGCACAGGUCUCUACUUUAGGCGAAACAGCCGGAAACUGACGCAGCAUAUAAAGUCGGAUAUUUCUUGAACGCACCUCGUAUACACACACACACACGUGUGUGUGUGUUUCCUACCACCGCUUGAUAACCGGCGAUGGUAUGUUUACGUCCCCAUAACAUAGCUGCUCGGUAAAAAAAAAAAGAACCGAUAAAAUAAGUAAACAGGCUUUAAAAUUAGAAGCGUUGGGGCCGAUUCGUUCGACUAACAUUCUUCAAGGUGGUGUUCCAGCAUGGCCGUAGUUUGCUUUCAGAAUUUUUUUUUUUUUUUUCAAAUUUCGUCGUAAAUGGCAGAGUCGUUAGACGAUAUGUCUUGCCGUAUUUAUUCUGGCUUCUUGCGUUACGAAUUCAAAUCUCAUUGAAGUCAACCUUGCUUUCAUCCUUCCGAGGUCGAUAAAUGAAGUAUUACUGUGUCGGACGGGAUGUAUUUCGCUAUUUGCUCCUGCUCUUUGCGUUUCGUGUUAAAAUCCCGCUGUGGGUUUAAUUAAGUGGUAUAGAUAUUAUCCGUUCCUUGUAUCAGACCAACAUAUGUUCCUUGGUGAUUUUGUGGCGUCCACUUUGUAAGGCUUUCCUACAGACGUGUGCUCCACCUAGCUUUCAGAAAAAUGGAUUAAAAAAAAAAAAUUCCUACGAAUACCCUUCAGAUGGUGUAGAUUACGAUUAUAUUGGAAUUUAAUCUGAUCGGUGGGCGCGCACAUGUACCAGAGGAUGUUGAAAUGUUUCCCGCUUUGGGUAAAAGAAAAUACAAGAGGAUCAGUUAAUUAUGAUUUUAUUCAACAUAUUGUACUCUCAGAUUUAUACACACAUUGCAGAUGUCCUUCAGUUUUUCUAAGCCCUAUAAAAGAACUCGGAAGUUUGGGCCUCCAACCAAGUUUUUCGUGAUACCCUUAAAGCCAGGAACUUUUCAGUACCCCCUCGUAUAUACUGACAUCAUCACUUAUAUAUCUACAAAACGAAACCUGAAAAAACUUUGAAAAAAAAAUUCACGAAGUAUUUCAGUGAUACGUAUUUGCGCUUAUCAAUUUUUCUUUUUAUCCACAUUAAAAUUCCGAUACAGUCUUAAUUUACACCAUCUGAGAGGUAUCUGUAGAAAAUUCCAUUAAAAAAUAUCAUUUUUUCCUGAAAGUUAUGAAGAAACAAAGUCGCUGAUGUGGGGCACACAAGUGUAGGUAUACCGCAUUCAAAUCACGUUUCCUUCUCAUUAGUGUCAAUGUUCCUAUAAACAGACAUGGACACCGCCCUUCCGUCGAUAUAAAAGCGAUAAGAAAAAAAUGAAUCUAUACACCCUAGACAAUGUACCGCUACAAGAUUUAAUUACAGGCGUGGCUGUGUGGUAAAGUUUGCUUUCCCACUGCAUGGUUACGAGUCCAGUGUUAGUGUCUUCUACUAUAAAUUCGGGCCAACCAAAGCCUUGUGAGUAGAUUUGUUAGACGGAAACCGAAAGAAGCCGUCGUAUAUAUAUAUAUAUAUAUAUAUAUAUAUAUAUGUAUUUGUGUGUAUAUAUAUAUAUAGAGAGAGAGAGAGUGUGUGUGUGUGUGUUUGUACCCCUCACACCACCCGCUUGGCAACCGAUGCUGGUGUAUCUACGUUCCCGUAACUUAGCGGUUUAGCAAAAGAGACCGAUAGAAUGGGAUCUUUUUGCUUUAUUCUACCAGUAUACGAAGUUUAAAAUUUUUUAGUUACAUAGAAAUUAUUUUAAAAAUCUGCCGGUCAAACAGAAAAGAUCCCAAUAAAAUACAAAAGAAAUAUUUUUUUUUACACUAAGUAAAUAAUUGUUUUAAAACAAAGUAAAUAAAUUUUCUAAACAAAGUAAAUAAAAUACAAAAACACAAAGUAAGGAUCGACUAGCUAGCGCGGAUGCGUGGCUAUGCGAAUGCGCGCACUCUUCUUAAGUAGUACCUAAAAGAUAUAAUACGCGUAAUAAGGAAAAUUACGAGCAACAAAGUCGGUGAUGCUUAGUCCUCUUGGACUUUGUUUUACAGUAUAUUCUUUCAUUAGUUGUUGCUAUUCUUAGUUUUAAGGCGGCGAGCUGACAGAAUCGUUAGUGCACCAGGCAAAAUGCUUAGUGGCAUUUCGUCGGCCGUUAAGUUCUUAAUUCAAAUUCCGCUGAGGUUGACUGUCUUUUCUCCUUUUUGGGUCGAUAAAAUAAGUGCCAGUUGAGUUCCUUGUGCCCAAAUUUGAAACCAUAAUUAUUAUUUUUCUAAAAGAUGAACUUUGAUGGAGACUUAGCAUCUAUUUCAAGUACAUCGAAUGACGACAUAGCCUCUAAGGUUGGUCUGGUUUCAUAUCUCUUUAAACAAAGCAAUUUUCGGUUUGAACGGCAGUUUUAUCUAGCGGUGUCAUAUGAAAUUGUCACCCAUAAUUAUGACCCUAGUAUCGAUCUAUUGCAUUUCAAUCUGUUUUAGGGUUAGAGGUGGGGAAAGGGUAAAUUUUUUUCUUCACAAAUGUAAAUAAACCCAAUCUGUUUCUUAAACGAGGGACAUAUUCAUACGGCACAGAAUGGUUUUUACCUCAAUAGACGUCAUUGAUUGGUUGAAAUUGCAGAAAUUGAAGAAAAAAACAACAUAUAUCUUACAAACUAUAGAAUUUUCUCAAUAAAGCCGAGAGAAAAAGAUGUUUUAUAAACACAUUCUACCAGUAUACAAAGUUUAAAAUUUUUUAGUUACCUAGAAAUUAUGUUAAAAACUGCCGUUCAAACCGAAAAGAUCCCAAUUUUCUUUUAUUUAAAGAACUCUAUAUGAUGCUUUUGGAAAAGACCUGCUGGAAAUAGCAGCCAAAUUAACGCUUAUUUUCCUCUACGUCUUCAUUCACCGGAAGGGAAAAAAAGAAAGUAUGCAAAGGGAAACAACUUUGAUACGAUUACUGGAAGCGCUAUAUUUUAAUUUUCUUUUUCAUUUUUGUUUUAGAACAUAGCAGUGUAUCUAUCUUCUCUAUCCUACUAACUUACGUAAGAACGGCAAUUAACUACCUACACUGGUACUUUGACGAGUCUGAACAUCGUGUAAUAAGCAUAGUUUUUCUUAUUUCUUAAUCUUUGAUCUUGAAUUUUUAAUAUUUGGUAAGAUGGACGUACACAUCAAAAUCGCUACGAUUUUAUAAAAGUACUUAAUGUAACAAAUAUAAAAUUACUUAUCCUGUCCAAUAAAAGGAGAGAAAAGGUAAAAAAAGGAUCUUUUCGGUUUGAACGGCAGUUUUUUCUAGCGGUGUCAUAUGAAAUUGUCACCCAUAAUUAUGACCCUAGUAUCGAUCUAGUGCAUUUCAAUCUGUUUUAGGGUUAGGGUUAGUUAGGGUUGGUUAGAGAUAGGGUAAAUAAACCCAAUCUGUUUCUUAAACGAGGGACAUAUUCAUACGGCACAGAAUGUUUUUCCCCUCAAUAGACGUCAGUGAUUGGUUGAAAUUGCAGAAAUUGAAGAAGAAAAAAAACAACAAAUAUUUUACAAACUAUAGAAUUUUCUCAAUAAAGCCAAGAGAAAAAGAUGUUUUAUAAACACAUUCUACCAGUAUACGAAGUUCAAAAUUUUUUAGUUACCUAGAAAUUAUGUUAAUAACUGCCGUUCAAACCGAAAAGAUCCAAAAAAAUCUUUAAAUAUCCUUACGUGCUGUGUGGUAUGAAGUUGAUUUCCCAACCACAUGGUUCUGGGUUCAGUCCCACUAUGUAGCACUUUGAGCUUCUUCUAUAGCCUCGGGACGACCAAAGUCAUGUGAGUGGAUUUGGUAGGCGGAAACUGAAAGAAGCCUGUCGUGUAUAUGUCUGUGUGUGUCUGCAUUUGUCCCCCUGCCAUUGCUUACAACCACCUGUAACUUAGCAAUUCGGCAAAACGCACCGAUAGAAUAAGUACUAGGCUUACAAAGAAUAAGUCCUUACUGUAGAGAGAACCUGUGGAAGAUGUAGACCCAGGAAGAUAGGUGAAGUGGUAAAAUAUGAUCUUUGAAUGUUGAGUCUCACAGAAGUGAUGACAAGUGACCAAGAUGCUUGGUGAUUUACUAUGGUUGAGAUGACAUGCCAAGCUAAGUGAAAUUGUAGUCAUCUCCAGUGUUGGUGACACAUGAAAGACCCCUGUGCAGGUUGUUGUUGUUGUUUAUUCCUUCUCGAGCCGUGCCUGACUCAUAUGGGCCGGUUUUUUGGUGUAUAGGUUCCCCACCUGGACGGGACGCUGGUCUGUCGCAGGUGAGCUGCAAGAUGCAGGAGGAAAGAGUGAGAGAAAGUUGUGGCGAAAGAGUCAGCAGAAGUUCACCAUUAUCUUCUGCCGGAGCUGUGUGGAGCUUAGGUGUUUCGCUCAUAAACACACACAUCGCCCGGUCUGAGAUUCGAACCCGUGAUCCCUCGACCGCGAGUCCGCUGCUCUAACCACUAGGCCAUGUGCCUCCACCUGUGCAGGUAACACAUGAAAGGCACCUGUGCUGGUGACUCACAUGAAAGUCACCCAUGCUGGAAACACAUAAAUGACAACCACUACACUCCAUGGAGUGGUUGGCGUUUGGAAGAGCAUCCAGCCAUAGAAACAAAGCCAAAAUAGACUGGAGCCUGGUGCAACUUACCAGCAUCAGUUAAACCAUCUUACCCAUGCCAGCACAGAAAAUGGAUGCUAAAUGAUGAUGAUAAUGAAGACUGCAAACAAACGACUACACUUGUAUGACAGUGAUGCUCAUUUAAAACCAUCAUGUGGAGUCAAGACAAGGGUACACAAGCACUCAUACAUACUUUAUAUGUACACACACACAAAAUGGGCUUCUUUCAGUUUACUGAAUUCACUCUCAAAAAGUUUUGGUUGGCCUAGUGAUGUUGUAGAAGAUACUUGCCCAAGGUACUGCACAGUGGGACAGCAACAUGCAACCACAUGGUUGGGAAGUAAGGUCCUUAACCCUUUAGCAUUUAAACCGGCCCAAAUAUUCUACCUGUCUUAUGUUCAAACUAGCCAGAUUUCACCUCUCACACCUACCAUGCCAUGUCAUUCUAAAUAUAAACAAUCACACCAUCGAAGUCCCAAAGCUAUGAAAUAAUGCAUGGUUAAUUGAAAGCAAUGUGAAUGCAUAACUAUUUCAUUUGGCAGAUUACUCUGAAUGCGAAAGGGUUAAACAAACAUGUGUCUAUUUAUCUCUUUACUUUUCAUUUUUAGAUCAAUCAACAAGAUGUAAGGGAAAACACAUUUACAUAUGUAGAACUUGUGAAACCUGUUAUAACAGUAAGGUUGUAGAGAUGAUACUGCAGAAUGGAGCUGAUGUUGGAAUGAAGACAACCGGUCAUGAAACACUUCCCUGUAUCAUCAGUCUGGUGGUGGAACUGUUACUGAAAUAUGGGGCUAAACUCAAUACAAAGGCUAUGACUGGUGAAGAAAUUCUACCAUCCGGCUAAUUUAAUAGAUACAUCAUUGUGAUAUUUGCUACUCAUAUAAAUGAUGGUGAUGCUGGUGGUUGUGUCACAUGGAGCAGUUUUAAAGUAAGUUACAGUUGAGCCUAAAUCUCCAUAAGUGUUUCUUUUUAUUUUUGAUCUCAAUAAUCCUUUAUCUUUUACUUGUUUCAGUCAUUUGACGGUAACCAUGCUGGGGCAUGACCUUGAAAAGUUUGAUUGAACAAAUAGACCCCUGUACUUAUUUUUAAGCUUGGUACUUAUUCUCUUAAUCACCUUUGCUUAACUGCUAAAUUAUGAGGAUGUAAACAAACCAACACUGGUUGUUAAGCAGUGGUGAGUGACAAAUACAAAGAUGCACAUACAUGUGUGUCUGUGUGUUUGCGUAUGUAUGUAUGUAUAUAUAUAUAUCUUUUAUCUUUUACUUGUUUCAUUCAUCUAAAGGAUUUUAGUUAAACAAAUCGACCCCAGUGAAACAUUGGGGUCGAUGUAAUUGACUAACCCCCUGCCCCAAAAUUUCACAUCUUGUGCUUUAGAAGAAAGAAUUAUUUGGCUUCCGUGCCAGUGGCACAUAAAAGGCACCAUUUGAGUGUGAUCGUUACCAGGAUCGCCUUACUUAUGCCCUGUGCUAGCAGGAUGCUAGGAGCACCAUCAAAGCGUGAUCAUUACCAGAGCAGCUAACUGGCUUCCAUGCCAGUGGCACGUAAAAGGCACCAAUCGAGCAUGAUCAUUACUAGCGUUGCCUUACUGGCACCUGUGCUGGUGGCAUGUGUAAAAAGAUUCAAGCAAGGUCGUUGCCAGUACAGCCUGACUGGUCACUGUGCCAGUGGUACGUAAAAGCACCCACUACACUCUCGGAGUGGUUGGCGUUAGGAAGGGCAUCCAGCUGUAGGAACUCUGCCAGAUCAAGGUUGGAGCCUGGUGCAGCCAUCUGGCUCGCCACCCCUCAGUCAAAUCGUCCAACCCAUGCUAGCAUGGAAAGCGGAUGUUAAACGAUGAUGAUGAUGAUGAUGAUUGUGAUUAAUGUUGCUACUGUGGUAUUUACUUUUUGUUAUGUCUUUUGUAGGUAUUUUCUUAAGAUUUAAAGACGUUCCCCAGGAAAACAUUAAGUAAAACCAUUCCUGCAACACAGCAGAACAGUUUCGAAAUGUUGAACAAAAGUUUCUUUAAAAGAAAAUGUAUACCUGCAAAUCUAAGAACUCAAUUAAAUAUUUACCUUUUCAAUUAAAAAGUGAUUUUCA